UCAGUGUUAUAUCUCUUUUCCAUGUGCAGGGGAAAUUUAAAGCUGUUAGAGACAGAUGAAAUGGGAAAAAAUGAUUUAAUGCAUGGACUUACGCAAUUUUACCCAAGUAGGGUGGGCUGUAUACCAUCCUCCCCUGCCUAGGUCGGUGAGGCAGGUUUUAAAAGCCAUCCUCAGAACUACGUGAGUUGAGCUGUGUCUGGACGUAUCCUGCCUCUCCAGGGCACACUGCAGAAGUUUGUGGAUGACCUCUUUGAGACCAUCUUCAGCACGGCACACCGUGGCUCUGCCCUGCCCCUGGCCAUCAAGUACAUGUUUGACUUCCUGGAUGAGCAGGCUGAUAAGCAUGGCAUUCAUGACCCGCACGUCCGCCAUACCUGGAAGAGCAAUUGCCUGCCCCUGCGGUUUUGGGUCAACAUGAUCAAGAACCCGCAGUUUGUGUUUGACAUCCAUAAGAACAGCAUCACAGAUGCCUGCCUCUCUGUGGUGGCUCAGACCUUCAUGGACUCUUGCUCCACGUCAGAGCACCGGCUGGGCAAGGACUCGCCCUCCAACAAGCUGCUGUAUGCCAAGGACAUCCCCAGCUACAAGAACUGGGUG
rnacentral:sRNA from 1 species